rnacentral:rRNA from 1 species
UGGAAAGGUAUUAAGGGCUCACGGGGGAUGCCUAGGUGCCAAGAGCCGAAGAAGGGCGCGGCCAGGCAGCGAAAUGCCCGGGUGAGUGGUCUAGCACGCGAAGCCCGGGGUGCCCGAAUGGGGAAACCCGGCCCAGCCGAUAAGGUUGGGUCACACUCGGUGAUUAGUGUGGCCGAGUGAGGGAACUGGGGGAACUGAAACAUCUAAGUACCCCAAGGAAAAGAAAGCAGAAGCGAUACCCUAAGUAGCGGCGAGCGAACAGGGCAGAGCCCAAACCCAAAAGACUUAACGGACUGGGGUCCUAUGUCUUCUGGGGGUUGUGGGGCAGAGCAAGAAGGGUCCCCAGACUCUUCAGGGAGCAGUCAGACUUUUAGCCGAAGGUCCCUGGAAAGGGCCGCCGAAGAGGGUGAUAGCCCCGUAGGCGAAAAGAGUUUGACCACCCGCUUUGUUCCCGAGUACCGCGGGGCACGGGGAAUCCUGCGGGAAGCUGGGGGGACCACCCUCCAAGGCUAAAUACUCUUGGCGACCGAUAGUGAACCAGUACCGUGAGGGAAAGGUGAAAAGCACCCCGAAAGGGGGAUGAAAAGACCUGAAACCGUGAGCCUAAAGACAGUCAGAGCCUGCCGUAAGGUGGGUGAUGGCGUGCCUAUUGAAGAAUGAUCCGGGGAGUUUCUGGGGGCGGCAAGGUUAAGGGACAGGAGUCCUGGAGCCGGAGGGAAACCAAGUCCGAAUAGGGCGUACAGUCGCUUUCAGAAGACCCGAAACCGAGCGAUCUACCCCUGGCCAGGGUGAAGGUCCGUUAAUCCGGACUGGAAGCCCGAACCCGUUGUCGGGGCAAAGACAUGGGAUGAGCUGGGGGUAGCGGUAAAAUGCCAAUCGAGCUCGGAGAUAGCUGGUUCUCCUCGAAAUGCCUUGAGGGGCAGCCCUGGGGGAGACGGCUGCGGGAGGUAGGGUACUGGAUGGGUUAGGGGGCGUGAGCUUACCAACCCCAACCAAACCGCGAAUGCCCGUAGACCAAACCCAGGAGUGAGACAGUGGGGGAGAAGCUCCAUUGUCGAGAGGGCAACAGCCCAGACCGCCGGCUAAGGCCCCCAAGUGUGGACUAAGUGGGAAAGGAUGUGGGAUUCCCUAGACAGCUGGGAGGUUGGCUCAGAAGCAGCCAUCCUUUAAAGAGUGCGUAACAGCUCACCGGUCGAGGGAACCUGCGCCGAAGAUGUAACGGGGCUAAGUCCACCGCCGAAGCCGCGGAUGGCUUUCAUCUUUGGAUGAAGGUCGUGGUAGAGGAGCGUUCCCAGGGCAGUGAAGCUAGCUCGGAAGGGCUGGUGGAGGCCUGGGAAGUGAGAAUCCCGGAAUGAGUAGCGACAAUCCCGGUGGAAACCCGGGACGCCGAAAGCCCAAGGAUUCCUACGGAACGUCAGACGGCGUAGGGUAAGUCGGGGCCUAAGCCGUAGCCGCAAGGCGUAGGCGAAGGACAGCUGGUGAAUAUUCCAGCACCACCAAUUUUCCAGUGAAGCGCGGGGGGACGGGGAAGGUUAGGUGGAGCAUCCCAACCGGACACGGGGUGUCCUCCCCUGUAGGCGAUGCUUCCAGAGGAAAAUCCCUGGAAGUGAUAAGCUGAGGGGGGAGGGAAUUUCCCGCUUUCGAGCGGGGGAAACUCCAUUGGUUCCAUGCCUCCAAGAAAAGCCUCGCGGGGAGGGAAAUGGGUGCCCGUACCGCAAACCGCCACAGGUGGGCAGGGGUGAGAACCCCAAGGCGUCCGAGAGAACCCACGCUAAGGAACUCGGCAAAGGAGCCCCGUAACUUUGGGAGAAGGGGCACCCUCUGGGGUGAAGGAGCAUGCCUCUGGAGCUCUGGGGGGUCGCAGCGAAGCACCUCUGGCGACUGUUUACCUAAAACCUAGGUCCCUGCUAAGGGGAAACCCUAAGUAUAGGGACUGACGCCUGCCCAGUGCCGGAAGGUUAAGUGGACGGGUCAUUUCCGGAGGGAGACUGUAGACCGCUUCUGAUAGAACACACAGAAGAGGGAUAGAGUCUCCCUUCGGAGAGAAGCUUGGAAAUGAAGCCCCGGUGAACGGCGGCCGUAACUCUAACGGUCCUAAGGUAGCGAAGUCCCUUGUCGGGUAAGUUCCGACCCGCAUGAAUGGCGGAACGACUGGAGGACUGUCUCAGCGUGGGGCUCGGUGAAAUUGCAGGGCCUGUGCAGAUGCGGGCGACCCGCGGCGGGACAAAAAGACCCCGUGGAGCUUUACUGCACCCUGGCAUUGGACGGGGGUCCGAGAUGUGUAGCAUAGGUGGGAGUCUGAGAAGGUUGGGCGCCAGCCCGGCUGGAGACGUCAUUGAAAUACCACUCUUCCCUGAUCUUUGCCCUCACCCCGGAACACACCGGGGAACCAUGCCAGGCGGGUAGUUUGACUGGGGCGGUCGCCUCCCAAAAAGUAACGGAGGCGUCCCAAGGUCCACUCAGGACGGAUGGAAAUCGUCCGGUGCGUGCAUUGGCAGAAGUGGGCUUGACUGUGAGGCCAACAAGCCGAGCAGGGACGAAAGUCGGGCAAAGUGAUCCUACGGUACCGUGUGGACGGGCCGUGGCUUAUCGGAUAAAAGCUACCCCGGGGAUAACAGGCUGAUGACGCCCAAGAGUUCCUAUCGACGGCGUCGUUUGGCACCUCGAUGUCGACUCAUCCCAUCCUGGGGCUGAAGGCGGUCCCAAGGGUCGGGCUGUUCGCCCGUUAAAGGGGUACGUGAGUUGGGUUCAGAACGUCGUGAGACAGUUCGGUCUCUAUCUGCCGCGGGCGUAGGAGGCUUGCGGGGAGCUCUCCCUAGUACGAGAGGACCGGGAGGGACGGCCCGCUGGUGUGCCGGUGGUGCCGCCAGGUGCCAGAGCCGGGUAGCCAAGGCCGGAUGGGAUAAGCGCUGAAUGCAUAUAAGCGCGAAGCCCACCCCAAGAUUAGGCCUCCCAUCCGCCAUUAGGCGGAGUAAGAUCGCAAGUAGACCACUUGCUCAAGAGGGCGGAGGUGGAAGGAGGGUAACCUCUGAAGCUGACCGCUCCUCAUCGAUCGAGGCCUUUCCCAC